rnacentral:ncRNA from 1 species
UCAGGGGAAGCUGAAAACCUGUAACAGAGUAAGCA